ACGGAAGGCAGCAGUGGGGAGUAUUGGGCAAUGGGGGAAACCCUGACCCAGCAACGCCGCGUGAAGGAAGAAGGCUUUCGGGUUGUAAACUUCUUUUACCAGGGACGAAGGACGUGACGAUACCUGGAGAAAAAGCCACGGCUAACUACGUGCCAGCAGCCGCGGUAAUACGUAGGUGGCAAGCGUUGUCCGGAUGUACUGGGUGUAAAGGGCGUGUAGGCGGAGGAGCAAGUCAGAAGUGAAAUCCAUGGGCUUAACCCAGGAACUGCUUUUGAAACUGUUCGCCUUGAGUAUCGGAGAGGCAGGCGGAAUUCCUAGUGUAGCGGUGAAAUGCGUAGAUAUUAGGAGGAACACCAGUGGCGAAGGCGGCCUGCUGGACGACAACUGACGCUGAGGCGCGAAAGCGUGGGGAGCAAACAGGAUUAGAUACCCUGGUA
rnacentral:rRNA from 1 species